UACGAAGGGGGCUAGCGUUGCUCGGAAUUACUGGGCGUAAAGGGCGCGUAGGCGGAUACUUAAGUUAGAGGUGAAAGCCCAGGGCUCAACCCUGGAAUAGCCUUUAAUACUGGGUAUCUUGAGUUCGGGAGAGGUGAGUGGAACUCCGAGUGUAGAGGUGAAAUUCGUAGAUAUUCGGAAGAACACCAGUGGCGAAGGCGACUCACUGGCCCGAUACUGACGCUGAGGCGCGAAAGCGUGGGGAGCAAACAGG
rnacentral:rRNA from 1 species